UUCUUCUUCCGUGUUGCAUGUGGUUGUGUAACUUCUCGCAGAGUAUUGUGGUGGUUUGAAGGAGGAUGGUCCCUUCUUAGUGAAAGAGAUUGUGGCCUUGUUGGAGGAGGUGCGUCACUGGGCGUGGUCUGUGAGGUUUUAAAAGCCCACAUUAGGCCCAGUCUAGAUUUCUCUCUGCAGAAGUUGACGUCUUUGCCUGGCACUUGUGGUGCACAUGUGAGACCUCAGGUACUGCUCCAGCACCAUGUCUGUCUGCCUGCCACCAUGCUCCCCUCCAUGGUGAUAAUGGACUAACCUCUAAAACUGUAAGCCAGCCCCCAGUUCAAUACCUUCUUCUAUAAACUGCCUUGGUCACGGUGUCUCUUCACUGCAAUAGAACAGCGACUAAGAUAAAUACAUUUGGGGGUCUUUGGUUUCUGCAGACUUAAAAAGAUUAGGAGAGCCAGGCAGUGGUGGCACACCCCUUUAAUUCUAGCACUUGGGAGGCAGAGACAGGUGGAUGUCUCUGAGUCCGAGGCCAGGCUGGUUUACAGAGUGAAUUCAAGAAAGCCAGGGCUACCCAGUGAAUUGCAAAACCAAAGCAAAACAACAGAAUGAGAAGAGCUCUGGUCCAUGCCUUGGAGAAAAUACUGGAGAGUAAGGGUCAGGGCACAUGAAAAUUUCCAAGUCAUGAUAUGAAGACACAAUCUACUCCGUGGCAGGUCCUAACCCCACACACUCCUGGGGAUGGUCCCCCCACCCCCCAGGUUCGAGUAGAAGCCAAGGUUUUGCACUUUCUAAGCAAACACCUUACUAUUGAGUUGUAUCACCAGCACCUUUCUGUUUGUUUUGAGAUAGAACCUCAGUUUGUAGCCCAGGCUAGCUGUGGCCUCUCAGCCUUACAAGUGCUAGGAUUAUAAGCAGGCACCUGGUCUAUAGCAAUCUUGGGAGGAGUGGACCCCUCUGACUGGGCUCCCAGGGACCACUGAAACCUGUUUCCUCGUCUAACUACUAAGGUCACACAGAGCUCCUGGGAAGUCAGAGGUCACUCAUGUCCACAGGGUGGGCAGUCAUUUUAAUCCAUGGCCAACUUGUCAGGAAGGAAGCAACUAUGACUCAGCUAAGGUGACGAAUCCUGCCACAGCUGGCACUGUCUUUUUAUUCUUGACAGUCUGCAGGGGCCGGUCUGCACUCUACUUCCGAGCUCUGGCAUUCAUUAAGAGAGGCAGGAACCUGAACCUGAGUGCCCAGGCUAGCCCCCUGACAAAUUGUCCCUGGAGAUCUUCUGCAGGACAGAAAGGGAGAGACUUUAAAAAAGGAGACUCCUAGGUAGAAGCCAGGACCACAACUCUGUCUUGCAUGGAACUAGCAAUAGACAGCUGACUAAGACACAGAGACAGUCUUUCAAGUGACAAAGAUGUUGGAAACAAUGAAGAAGAAUUUCAGCAUAUAAGGCUGCAAGGAAAACUACAUUUACAGUAAGGAGAAAAGAUGAAAAUAGUAUAAGAGGAAAUUAAAACUCUAACAGUAACCAAAAUGAGAUCAGAAGACAGGCCCACUGCUGCUGUGGGCCUUCAUCAUUGACAACCAUCGAGUGACCAACAAUCAUCACAUGACCAAUAACCAUCACAUGACCAACAACCAUCACAUGACCAAUAAUCAUCACAUGACCGAGUAGAUGAUUUCUCCAGAGGACACACACCAACCAGGGGCGCUUGGAUUUACCUAACUUAGAAGAGUUGACUUGUUUGGUAAGUCAAGUCUCCCCGGGUACUGUAAAGAGUGGCACAUUGUUCACUUUUGCAGUUGUUUGUUUGAUUUGGUUUUGAGACAGAGUGUCCUAUAACCCAGGCUGGCCUUGAACUGGCUAUAUAGCUGUCUUAGCUAAUUUCCCUGUUUUAAAAUACCCCAACAAAAGCAUUUUAGGAAAGAAGCGUUUACUUUGGUUCAAGGAAACAGACCCUCUGGAUAAGAAAGUCAAGACAGCAAGCCUGUGGCAGCAGGUCUCAUCAUAUACACAAUCGGGAAGCAGAGUGCAUCGAAUGCUAGUGUUCAGCUAACUUUCUCCUUUUUAUACAGUCUAUACCAGAGUCCAUUUUUAGGGUGGGUCUGUGUUGAUUUUCUACUAUGAUAAGAUACCAUAACCAAGGCAACUUACAAGAGAAAGUUGGGGCUUGCAGUUUCAGAGGGUCUAGGUCCGUGACCGCCAUGGCAUGAGCAUGGCAUCAGGUAGGCAGGCAUGGUGUUGGAGCAGUAGCUGAUGGCUCCUGUUCUGAGACACAACCUCAAGGCAGAGAGAGAUAACCGGGAGUAGAACGAGCUUUCGAUAUCUCCAAGCCUGCCCCCAGUGACACAUCUCUUCCAACAAGACCACACCUCCUGAUCCUUCCCAAACAGUUCUACCACCUGUGAUCAAGUAUUCAAAUAUAUGUCGAUAGAGGUCAUUCUCAUUCAAACCCCACAAUGUUUCCUCACUUUAGUCAGCCUAAAUUACAUAAUCCCUCACAGGUAUGGCCAGAGACUAAAUAUCCGCCACAGGUAUGUCGAGAGGCUUGCCUCCCAGGUGACUCCAGAGCUCAAGUUGACAAUUGAGAGUAACUACCACAGUAGCCCAGGAGGACAAUCCUCCUGCCUCCUCUCACCAAGUGCUACAAUUACAGGCAUAGACCACAAUGCCAAGGCACAGAUGUUCUCUAAAAAGCCUGCCUAUCAAGAUAAGGAGAUUAGUUGCUCCCUGUCAGGAAGGACUGAUGACCUGACUGCUAUAGAUGCUCCAAGCAGACCAUUUGGGAGCGGGGAGCACACAGUAAAUAAAUCACACCCUUCAGGUCACGUGAGACUAUAUUAAAUGGUCUCUUGAAUCUAUUUUUCCACAGUUGUGUUGCACAAGCUUACUCCUUUUCCCCUCUGAGCUUUUCUAUUAAACUUUCAUAUUCUAAACAAACUACAAUGCAAUUUGGGAGUUGUCUGGCAUCGGGAUGGAUAUUAAUAGAAAAUCUGUAUGUUUCAACUCCCCCACCCAUAAAAUAAGAAGCGUACCGUUAGUGUUCUGCGUAAAGCUGUGCUGUGAAAAAGCAAGCCCCACUUAAAUUCUAGUACUAAAGAAGGAAAUACAUGAAGUGUACGAAUCAGACGGGUGUCACAAGCUGAGCAAGCCCUAGUCCUCUGCUCCUACAUUCUAGGCAAAUCUUACAAAGGAAAACAUUUAAUUGGGGCUGACUUAUAGUCAGUGAAGGUCUAGUCCUUUAUCAUCACGGUAGGAAGCUUGGUAGCAUGACUUGGUGAUGGAGAAGGAAACGAGAGUUCUACAUCUUGAUUAGCAGAGAGUCGAAGGAGACUGACUGUACCAGCGGACAUAGCUUGAGUAUAGGAGAGCUCAAAUCCUACCCACACUUCUUCCAACAAGGCCACACUUCCUAAUAACGCCACUCCCUAGAGCCAAGCAUUCCAACACACGUGUCUAUGGGAGCCAUACUAUUCAAUGCACCAUACACGGUCUCACGAUUUAGCUCUGUUUGGCCUAGAACUCAAUAUGUAGACCAGGUUAAUCUGAAACUCAGAGAUCUACCUGACUCUGCCUCCCAAGACUUAGAGCUAAAGUGUGUGCCAUCGGUCAGCUUGCCUGGUUGUUGUUGGUUUAUUUUUAAUUUAAACAUGUUUUAGAUAGGGUCAUAUUACAGUUCAGGCUUGUGGCCUUGAAUUCUUUAUGUUCUACCAUUCACAGCCCGAGUGUUGGAAUUGUAAGUCAUGGAAUUAUGCUACCAAGACCAUUUUUGUUGCUUUUGGCUUCCGAGACAGGGUCUCACUAUGUAAUUCUUGAUCCUCCUGCCUCAGUUCCCUAAAUAUUGGGACCAAAUGAAUGAAUGAAUGAGUGAGUGAAUUAACAAAGCAGCUAGAGAAACACGACACACUGCAUACAAUGUCAAUGUUUUAUUCUCUGAACAAUCUAGAGCAGAAACAUCAUCUUUUUUUUUUUUCUUUUUUCUUUUUUUCGGAGCUGGGGACUGAACCCAGGGCCUUGCGCUUGCUAGGCAAGUGCUCUACCACUGAGCUAAAUCCCCAACCCCAGAAACAUCAUCUUUAUGAUGCUACAGAAAGAGCUAGUGAUGUAAAAGGCACCUGUAAUCUAAGCCCUUGGCAGACUGUGGAGGGGAAUCAUGAGUGUGAGGCCAGCCUGAGUCAAUCCUGAGACCAUCUGAAAAAGAAAAAAAAUCUUCCAGGACUCAGAUGAACUAGGACGAUGUUGUCACCAGCAGACCUGCACCAUGAGACAGAAUUGCUGAGAAAAUAUCCUGAGAGAGGAAGGGUAAUGAGAGCGGCCCAAGAGCAGAGAGAGGCUGUGGGUUUGUGGGAGGAAGACAGAACACCAUACAUCAUUGUGACUGGAUAAUGGUCCCGUCUAACUGAGGGUCAUAGGUGAACCCCUGAAGGGGGUCGGGACCCACAGAUUGAGAACCAGUGCACUAUGACCUUCAGAACAGGAGAUGGCCUGUGGAGGGAACUUCAAAGACAACAUUUCAGGAAUCAUUUCUCGAGUCUGAAGGGACUCUUCACCUCCCGCUCUUUAGUAGCUGGAUAGGUCAGAUUGACAGAACCCAUAGGAGAUCAAAAUCAGGAGGAGGUGGGGGCUUAGAAACGACGACGGCAAAGAUUUAAAAGGCACAAGGAGCUGAUGAAGAGGCAUGAGGCAGAGCACCUUAGAGAAAGUUCAGGCAGGAUGCCCUUCUGGCCUCGUGGAGGCCAGCCAGAGUGUGUCUCAAGAGUCUUCCAUGAGAAGAUUGCUAAAGGCACACGUUCUAAACCUACACGGCCCACAUCCUAACAGCCAUGUGAAGACCUUCCUCUUGCAGAGAAGAUUUUCAUUAAAGGUUCCUUAACCCAC